CCCGCUGAACUUAAGCAUAUCAAUAAGCGGAGGAAAAGAAACUAACAAGGAUUCCCCUAGUAACUGCGAGUGAAGCGGGAAAAGCUCAAAUUUAAAAUCUGGUGGUCUUUGGCCAUCCGAGUUGUAAUUUAGAGAAGCGUCUUCCGCGCUGGACCAUGCACAAGUCUCCUGGAAUGGAGCGUCAUAGAGGGUGAGAAUCCCGUCUUUGGCAUGGACACACCAGGGCUUCUGUGAUGCGCUCUCGAAGAGUCGAGUUGUUUGGGAAUGCAGCUCUAAAUGGGUGGUAAAUUCCAUCUAAAGCUAAAUAUUGGCGAGAGACCGAUAGCGAACAAGUACCGUGAGGGAAAGAUGAAAAGAACUUUGGAAAGAGAGUUAAACAGUACGUGAAAUUGUUGAAAGGGAAACGCUUGAAGUCAGUCACGUCGGCCAGGGAUCAACCUUGCUUUUCUGCUUGGUGUACUUUCUGGUUGAUGGGUCAGCAUCAAUUUUGACCAGUGGAGAAAGGUCAGGGGAAUGUGGCAUCUUCGGAUGUGUUAUAGCCCUUGGUUGCAUACAUUGGUUGGGAUUGAGGAACUCAGCACGCCGCAAGGCCGGGUAACUAUUACCACGAUCGUGCUUAGGAUGCUGGCAUAAUGGCUUUAAUCGACCCGUCUUGAAACACGG
rnacentral:rRNA from 1 species